rnacentral:rRNA from 1 species
UACGGGGGGGGCAAGCGUUGUUCGGAAUUACUGGGCGUAAAGGGCUGGUAGGCGGCCAACUAAGUCGGAUGUGAAAUCCCCAGGCUUAACCUGGGAACUGCAUCCGAUACUGGUCGGCUUGAAUCCGGGAGAGGGAUGCAGAAUUCCAGGUGUAGCGGUGAAAUGCGUAGAUAUCUGGAGGAAUACCGGUGGCGAAGGCGGCAUCCUGGACCGGCAUUGACGCUCAUGCACGAAAGCGUGGGGAGCAAACAGG